GACGAACGCUGGCGGCGUGCUUAACACAUGCAAGUCGAACGAUGAAGCCGGAGCUUGCUCUGGUGAAUUAGUGGCGAACGGGUGAGUAACACGUGAGUAACCUGCCCUUGACUAUGGGAUAACUGCGGGAAACUGUAGAUAAUAACGGCAGCGACGCUCGGAGGCAUCUCCUGGGGGGGGAAAGAAUUUCGGUCAAGGAUGGACUCGCGGCCUAUCAGCUAGUUGGUUAGGUAAAGGCUCACCAAGGCGACGACGGGUAGCCGGCCUGAGAGGGUGACCGGCCACACUGGGACUGAGACACGGCCCAGACUCCUACGGGAGGCAGCAGUGGGGAAUAUUGCACAAUGGGCGCAAGCCUGAUGCAGCAACGCCGCGUGAGGGAUGACGGCCUUCGGGUUGUAAACCUCUUUUAGCAGGGAAGAAGCGAAAGUGACGGUACCUGCAGAAAAAGCACCGGCUAACUACGUGCCAGCCGCCGCCGUAA
rnacentral:rRNA from 1 species